UAUCCCGAGGUGAGCGAGAGAACUGUUGCCAAGGAACUCGGCAAAAUGACUCCGUAAGUUAGCGAGAAGGAGUGCUUAAGCAAUUAAGCCGCAGUGAAGAGGCCCAAGCGACUGUUUAACUAAACACAGCUCUCUGCGAAGUCGCAAGACGAAGUAUAGGGGGUGACACCUGCCCGGUGCUGGAAGGUUAAGAGGAUCUGUUAAGAGCGAUCUGAAGCAGUGAUCCGAAGCCCCAGUGAACGGCGGCCGUAACGAUAACGGUCCUAAGGUAGCGAAAUUCCUUGUCAGGUAAGUUCUGACCCGCACGAAAGGUGUAACGAUUUGGGCGCUGUCUCGGCAGCAGACUCGGUGAAAUCUUAGUACCUGUGAAAAUGCAGGUUACCCGCAACUAGACGGAAAGACCCCAUGGAGCUUUACUGCAGCCUGAUAUUGAAUUCUGGUCAUACAUGUACAGGAUAGGUGGGAGACAAAGAGACGUGCACGCCAGUGUACGAGGAGUCGACGUUGGGAUACCACUCUUGUGUGACCGGGGUUCUAACCUGGUAUCGAGAACAGGUACGGGGAGAGUGUCAGGUGGGCAGUUUGACUGGGGCGGUCGCCUCCCAAAGAGUAACGGAGGCGCCCAAAGGUACGCUCAGAUUGGAUGGAAACCAAUCGACGAGUGCAAUUGCAGAAGCGUGCUUGACUGUGAGACAAACAAGUCGAACAGGGACGAAAGUCGGGAAUAGUGAUCCGGCGGUGCCGAAUGGAAGGGCCGUCGCUCAACGGAUAAAAGCUACCCUGGGGAUAACAGGCUGAUCUCGCCCAAGAGUUCACAUCGACGGCGAGGUUUGGCACCUCGAUGUCGGCUCAUCGCAUCCUGGAGCUGGAUUCGGUUCCAAGGGUUGGGCUGUCCGCCCAUUAAAGCGGUACGCGAGCUGGGUUCAGAACGUCGUGAGACAGUUCGGUCCCUAUCUGUUGUGGGCGAAGGAGAUCUGCGGAGAGCUGUCCUCAGUACGAGAGGACCGGGAUGGACCUACCGCUGGUGCACCGGUUGUUCCGCCAGGGGCAUAGCCGGGUAGCUAAGUAGGGAAAGGAUAAGCGCUGAAAGCAUCUAAGCACGAAGCCUACUCCAAGAUAAGAUCUCCCAUUCGCAAGAAGUAAGACCCCUUAAAGACGAUAAGGUAGAUAGGCCAGGGAUGGAAGUGCAGUGAUGUACGGAGUUGACUGGUACUAAUCGGUCGAGGACGAA
rnacentral:rRNA from 1 species